AAGUGGAGCGGUAGGAAAUUAUUAUUUCGUUAUUAUUAGUAGUCGUUUGGUGUUGCUAUAGCUCGCUGUAAUAUAUAUACUAAGUCGGCGUUCUCGUUGUACAACAACUUGCGUCGUACACAAGAUCGUCUUGCGAUAAGAAGGAUGUAAACUGAAAACGCAACUUAUUGCUAAUCGGGAAAUGAGGAACGGACAACAACCUACACGCGAUUAAUGAUGGAGAAACGUUCGAGCUACAUAUUGAUGAGAUUCGAACGCCAGAAAGUGAAAAUGAUUUGCCUUAGCGGGACAGGCGCGUCAGAGGGGUUCAUUCAAUGCUCAUGUAUGCCCAUAGGGGGGUACGAAACCGGAUGAUUUGUGUGUAUUAUUUUGUUUACUUCUGUUUGUGGCCAAGGUCAAUGCGUAGAGCAAAACCAUUUUCCGAUAAGAAAAUAUGAAUUUAAGACAUGGAAUUUGUAUUUUAUAUUUAUAGACUGGCAAUAAUAUUUUGGAAUUGUCUAACGUAGGAGUGUUCCAAAAUCGAAGAUCGCGAAAUUCAAAAUAUGUGUUCUCGUAAAUAUUGAAUGAACCCCAACGACGAACCGCUUUCCCGUGAACGCUGACAGAUUAAUGCAUUGCAACUAUCGCUUGUUUACAUAUACGAGUCGACUACCGACGACGACGACGCCAUGGUGAUACGUCGUCAGUCGCUCACGAUUGCAAUGGGAAAGAGUUGUAAUCAAUAAACCAAUAGGCAGGAUCCGUCGUCACGGCUCGAGCCCAAUCAUGCAACACAAUAUUAUUCCGAACCAAGACCACGCCGCGCCGGUGAUAACCUACUGAUCUGAGCUCAUUCCGAUAGUGGGCUGUUUACGACCGAUUUAUAUUUCUGCUCGGUUACUAACAACGAUUGAAUAGUUUAACGUUGGAGAAAUUGAUGAACAAACAACACGAGAACCAGCAACAAAUGCGUCACGUGAGCACGUACCUUAUCCUUCUUAUCCUGUCGAGCAUACGGGAAGCAUGGUAUCACAGCGGUCACACGGGACGCGGAUGCAAUCUUGCACGCGUUGAUCAUAAUCAGCAGUUCCAUCAGGUUGUCGUUGAUCUCGCCGGAUCCGGACUGUACGAUGUAGACAUCUUCUCCGCGGACGGAUUCGCCGAUUUCCACGC